UCGGCUACCAGCUGACUACAGGCACAUGAAAGGCUCAGCGAGCCCACUCAGACCACAAGAACUACUCAGCUGAUCACAGAAUUGUGAGCAAAGUGACAGGCUGUACCAUCCCUGUUGCAACUACUCGACUUUGCCAUCAUAGCAAAGCAGUCAUCAACCGAUCACUGCCAGGCCCCCAGUGAGUUGCUGCAGGUGGGCUCCUGACUCAGGCUUAGUGAGUCUGGCCAUUGUGUCCUCUUGGCCACAGAGGCCCCCUUCAGGGAUGAGCAUGUGACCGGAAUUAAGGCCAAUGAGAACAUGGAAAGAAAUCUCCUCACUGCGUUUGGACAUGCUGCAGCCAUUUCGCAGCCAGGAGGCUAGAGCCUGUCUGAAAAGGGACCUACCAUGGAAGCAAGAGGAGACUGUGUGGGAGUAAGAAUGUCAUCUGUGUUCUGAUUGAAGCCACCUGAAGCAUUCCAACCUGGAAUUUUCAGUUCUGUGAACUAAUGAAUUCCCUUUUAUCUUAAACAUAUACAAUUAAAUGAACACCUAAAGUGUGUGCUUGAGGAUAUAUAUCUGUGGAAAUAUAUGGUCUUUGAUGGUUUGAUUCUAAGUGGAGCAGACAGAUAAGAACCAGAGGCAUGG